rnacentral:lncRNA from 1 species
CGAUCUCUACAAAUCUCUCCCCAUAUUCUUGAUCCAAAUAGCAAUUAUAAAAGAAUAAAAUUCUCAAGUAUCAGCUCUGGCCUAGCUAGGGUAAGCACCGCCGCCGGACUAUCACUCUAUAGCAAGCUUAGCCGGGUUUUUGUACUGAAUUAUGCUAUAUAAGGCCACAAAUAUCUUUCAAAAAGGUUAUGCAAUUAUCGUACCCCAAGCCUUCUUAAAAUUCUCUCUCCUCUACAUAUAUUGGUAAAUCCCGUCAUUACUUCGACAGUCGAAAAAAUCGUAGCGGGACAGCUCCAACAAUAUUUUCACACUGUUAGUGUGUUGUAGUUCGGCCUAGUAACCAAGAGCCAUCGACGACCAAAAAUCAACAGUUGAUACACCACCAUAUGUAUUUUCGAUUUUUUCUCUUCCAUUUCUAGCAUCCACAUGCCCUCAACAGCCUUAGAAGUUUGACUCGUAUUUUUUCACGUGUGUAAUUUUUUAGUUGUAACUUAAAACACAAAUUUAUAUUCCUUUAUUUUUAUUUUUUGUGUGGGGUGUGGAACAUUUGAUUCUAUGCUUCAAGUUGUGGAUUGAAAUGAAAAGUAAUACAAAAAAAAAAAGAAAAGAAAAUGAAGAUAAAUUCUUUUAUUAAUAUGACAAGUUAGGAAUCUAAGGGGAAAAAAAGAUACUUAUGUGUCAAGUAAUUUAUUUAUUUAAUUUAAUUUAAUUAUCCAUAAAUGAAAAAUGCUACCCACCGCGUAAAUUUAUCCUCCCUCUCCCUCCCCCACCCCACACACACGAUUUGACUAAUAUUUUUUUUUUUUUACCCCAAUUUCUUUCUCCAAACUACCAUUUUGCCAUUUCAAACUAUUUAUUUUUUCGUUUCGUUUAUACAUUUUUUAUUAUUUUUAUAUCUUUUUACGUUUAUUCUUUUUAUUUUAUUUAAUUACACUUUAUCUUUUAUAUUCUUUUUACUUGUUAUUCUUUUUUUUUCCUUUUAACACACUUUUAUAUUAUUUUUUAUUUUUUUAUUUGUUAUUUUUUUUUUAAUAUCUUUUUUUUCUUUUAUUCCUUUUCACUUUUAUUAUUGUUUUUAAUUGAGUGAAUUGUUCAAAAAAUACGAAAAAAAAUAAACUUUUAAAAUAGGGAAAUAAUUUCUACACUCCAAAAAAUUGAUUCACUACACUCCUAUUUUGGAUUGUAGGACUCAAAAAAGGAGUGUAGAAAUAAAUUUUCUUAAAAUAUAAAUCAGAAGUAAAUAGUAAACUCACAUUAACAUAAGAAUAUAAUAUUUAAUCAAUAUCUCCUCUAAACUCUCCUCGGAGGCGCACAGAUCCUAACAAAAAAUAUUGACACAUUCAUUACACUCUUAAUCCCUUAAACAACAUCGCAACUACCGUGACCAAAUGUCGUAAACAUCCUCAUCCCUACUAAAAUUGACACCAUAUAAACAUUGACAAUGGUCAUUAAUUCACUCCCUAUAUUGUAAGUACUCCCACAACCAUACACAUGUAUAACCUCUUUCCUUUUAAAUGACCCCACAACCAUAUUGUAAUACAUUUUAAAAUUUUUAUAAAUAAUACUUUUCAAAAUCUACAACUAAAAAUACAAAAGAUUACAAAACAUAUAAUAAAAAAAAAUUAGUACCCAAAAGCAAAAAAAAUGAUAGAAGAAAGAAGAGAAAGAAAAAUUUUAAAAAAGAAUGGAAAAUAAUAAAAAAAACUGAAAAAAAAAACUUAAAAAAAAUAAUAAAAAAGAUUUAAAAAAAUAAAAAAAAAACUGAAAAAAAAAAAUAAACAAAAAAACUGAAAAGAAGAGAGAGGGGGGGGGCGUGGGUGGAGGGAUGAGAGAGAGAGAGAAAGGGGGGCAUUUUGGUACUUUCAGAAGGAGACAAGGGGGAGGGGUGGUGUCAGGGGUGAGUGGAUCACCUCUCCACACCGCUCAUGUCAAUUGAGACGUUGGUAUUUCAUAAAAGUGGAAAUGUCUUGUCCCGUAGUGGGUCAAAAAUCUGCCAUUCUUUUCGCCAAACCGUCCACAUAGGGUUCGGUCCCUGAAGUAAUUGUAUGAUGCGUUUGAGAGUAUAUAAAAUAUAUAUUUAUUAUCUUAGAAUUAAAAUAGUACAACAAAAAACAAAAAUAAUGGGGUUUAGUGUUAUGGGGGAGGAUCGGGGUGCCUGUGGGGAGGGUGCCUGAGGGUUGUAGAGAUCCAAAACGCCGUCGUUUUGGGUCAGUUUUACUCAAAACGAUAUCGUUGUUUUAAAAAAAAAAUUUGGCCCAAAACGACGGCGUUUGUGCAAUACAUUUUUGAAUAUAAAACGACGUCGUUUGGACUAAAAGGGACGGAAAACGGCGUCGUUUUUGGCUCCCUUCACGCUCUUGCAGGCGCCAGCACACGAACCCCCCCGCAGCUCCCCAAAUCGUGUAUGAGUACCCUAAAUGGUACUCCACAAAUCUACCCACCAUGAGGUGGAGCAUUGGAUGGGUGGGGUGUGGGGUCCACCCACUUUGUCAACCAAUUCCUCCCCCACCACUCGCUCCACUCAUGGUGGGGGUACAUUUAGGGUGCCAACAUUGGCCCCCCCGGCGACCACCACCCCCAAGCAUUUUUCAAAAAAUAAUAUCGUUUUGCACUCACCUGCAUGCAGUGUAUUCAAAAUGAAACACUUAAACAUUAUUACUUUAGAAGACCCAAAAUCCGGUCCCCCCCACCACCAUGUAGCUCUCAAAACUCGUCUUUUAUACUUUUGUGGUAGAUAUGCAAAGAAAAAUAUUGGCCCCGUUGAUAGACAUUCCAAACCACAACUUAUUUAAGUCGUUUACAUUUUUUUAAAAAAAUUAAUUUUAUAUUUUUUUGUCUUUAUCUUUAUCUUUAUUUAAAGAAAAAAUAAAUUGAUGAUGAGUGAUAAUAGUGAUAAUGUUUGUGCCAGGCAGGACCCACACCACACCCCCGGACGCCGGCCUUUUGCCAUCGUCGUCGGUGUGAAGAUGGUGACGUGUGAUGGAGUUGAAAACUGGUAUUAAAAGACGGCGUCAAUAACAAAAGGCAAAAAUAAAUUAUGAAUAUUUUUUUAUUAUUUCAAUAAAUUCUUGAAUAAAAAAGAUGUUUUUUUAUUAUUUCAAUAAAUUCUCAUAUUAUGCGUGUUUUCUAUAUAUGCAUAACUCGUAUAAUGAUAAUUUAUUAUUUUAAAAAAAUAUAAAAAAAUAAUAUUAUUUAUUCUACACAAUUUUUUUUAUAAAAAUAUAAAUUAAAAUAUAUAGCAAUGAUGUAUGAUAGUGAUAUGUUUAAUUGAAAAACAUAAGGAUAUAAAAUAAAUUUUUAUUUAUAAUACAUUAAAUAUUUAGUUAAAAAAAGAGUAAAAAAUUAUCAUUUAAGACCGUAUAAAGAACUUAAAAUAAUUUUUUUUAAAAUAAAAAAUUAUUUAAAUAAAUAUAGUUUUUAUAAUAAAAUUUAGAAAAAAAAUCAAGUUUGUAUAAAAAUGAUACCUACUAUCAUGAUGGGACCUAGGCUUCAAGGUGACAUUUAUUGCAGCUUUCCAUUUUAUACACUACUAGUAAUUAUACGUGCCUACAACACUACAUAAAAAAAACACCUCUUAGACGUACUCGUUAGAAUUUUAUAAUAUAAAAAAUAAAUAAGAUAUAAAUUUUAAUUAAAAAAUAUAUUAUAUAGAUAUACAAAGAGAUAUAUUGCUAUAAAAUAAAAAAUAAAUUAAAAAAUAUAAUAAGUUUUAAAAAAUUUUGCUAAUUUAAAAGAAAUAUGGGAGAAAGAAAUAGGUGUUUUAAUUUUUUUUAUGUGGGUCCCAUUAAAAAAUGAUUCAAUGGAUAAUUUUUGUCCGUAUUUAGAAUUUAUUUAUUAGGUAAAAACAUAUGUGACUCCCACACCUUUGAAAAAAGUGAUAUUUUUUUUAAAAAAAUAAUCUCAAGUGAAAUCUCAGCCGUUGGAUUAACUCAAAUGAAUUUUAACUGUAGAUAGUAGAAGAUAAUUUUAAAAUUCAAAAUAAAUUAUAUUUUUUUGAUGAUUGGUAAAUUGGUAGGCCUAGUUGGUUUGACGAUGGAUAAGGAGUAGGUCUUGGACUGGACAAGGAGUAUCCGGACUGGACAAGGAGUCCCCGAAUAUAAGUCGGACUUAAUCAUCGUUAGCCGUUGUGUGUUUUACUACGGACAAAACUCGGAUAACUGGUAGGCCAGUCUUGUCCUAUGUGCGUUGACUAAGUAAGCGAAGGAAAAAUGACGGAAAUGACAAACAUACCUUCACUCUUUCCCCUCUAUAUUGUCUUUUUUAGUUUUGUUUCUUUUUUCAUUAGGUGUUUUAAUGAUUUUUUAUUUUAAAUUAAUUUUUUAUCAGUUUUAUUUAUUUUAGAGAUAAAACAAACCUUUUUUUUGAAAAAUUAACCCGUUUUCGAAAAAGUAUUCAAAAAAUAUUUAAUAAAAUAUAUAUAAAAAAUAAUAAUUUAAAAAUAUAAAUUUGUAGUGAAAAUAGUUUUCAGAAAAUAUAAUAGUUUUUCUUUUAUAGUAUGUAUAUAUUUUUCACUAAUUAUUAAAUAAUAAUUUUAAUAUUAGUGAUAUUUUGAAACUACUUGUGAUUACAAUUUUAAAUUUUUUGUUUCUCUUAACGAGAUAAGACUGAAAAGUAAUUUUUUUAUUUAAUUUUUGAAAAAAUAAAUUAUAAAAAUUAUUAUUUCUAAAAAAAACUAUUGUUUUAAAAAUAACUCUUUGAUAAAAAAACUGAUUAUAUUUUCUAAAAUUAUUCUCAAUAAUAUUAUUCAAAAUUAUUUUUUAAUAUUUUUUUUUGAUUAAAUAUUUUUUAAAAAAAUAUUUUUUCGGAAAAAAUGGUUAAUUUUCAAAAAUUAAAAAAGUAUCUCCAAAAGAACUGAUAAAACAAAUUAAUUUAAUAAAAAAUAAAAAAUUAAUUUAAAAAAACUUAUCAAAAAUAAAAAAAUAAAAAAAAAAAGAAAGAGAGAGGAGGAGAGAGAGAGGCGGGGGAGAGAGCUGGAAGACAAGAGGAAUUAUUCAAUAUGUGUUAGAGCAAAUAUUAGUAAUUUAAUAUAGUCCAACUUAGGUUUAGUCCGGGGGACUAAGAGGUCCCAGCUCUCACCCCGGGCAGAUAGUCCCAUGUGAGGGGGGACUAUUAGUCCGUUCGGAUUAUUAAUCGUUCGAAACCAUUUUAUGUAAACAAACCGAGGAUUGGACUGAACUCGUUGUCCAGUCCGACCUAGGCCGACUAAUCCGGGCAAACAACCUACCCUUACGGGCCGUUUGGCUGGCGGAUCCGGGAGGGGAGAUAAAUUUUAGAGGGGCUAACCUUUUGAAGGGGAUAACUUUUUAACUGGGUUGGACCUUUUUAGAAUGGGUGGAUAAGGGUCGGUGAUAAAAAAAAAUAUAGAGAGGAACCAAAUAUAACAUAUUUAGAGAUUAAAAAAAUAUAUUUACCUUUCUUAUAUAUAAUAAUAUAAAUAAAAAAUAGACAUUUUGUUCUCCUUUAAUAUUUUUUUUCUUAUCCCUCACCCACUGAUCCCCCGGGAUAUUUUAGUAGGUCUAGGCCACCCAAAAAUUACCGCAUCAUCACCUGUGGGGAAUAUAUCCGGGCGGCAUAAAUUACACCGCCUUAUCGCCAGCCAAACGACAUGGGGGACAAAUUUAUCGGGGGAAAAAAAUUAUCUCCCUCCUUAAUCAGCAGCAAAACAGCCCCUUCAGUGUCUACAGCAUUGGAUUGUAAGACCACAUGCUGUUUGGUUUAAAAAAUCAAACGUAGUACAAAUAAUGAAUUGGAACAGAACCUGUCCAUUGUUAUCACUGUUGAAAAUGUUAGGAUUUAAUUUAUUUUAAACCCACAGACAAACCCACACAAUUAAAGAAUAAAUCAAGAAUAUCAAACAAUAAAAAAUAAGAGUAAGAUAUACUGAUUUUACGUGGUUCGGUAAUUUGCCUACGUCCACGAAAUUGCAGAGAUUUCACUAUUGAGAGAGAGAGUUACAAAGAGGCGACUAUACAAUAUACGCGUUAAUCCUAAACACCAAAAUAACGGAUUUUAUAUGUCCUGCGCAUCGGACUACAAAAUAGGCCAAAAAAAUUUUCAGUCCAAGCCUCCGCUCCAUAAAAUAAGCCUCAUUGAAAAUCUCAUUUAAAACCACGCAACAUUAUUUUUGGUCGGAUCAUCAUUUAGAUCAACGCAAAUUAGACUCCACAAAAGAACCCAACGGAAAACCUAACUCAUUUGGAAAAAUUAAUAUUCCCUUCCAUCAAUUUAUUUGUUCAAUUUCAUUAUUUUAGAGAUAUAAAAAAAAUAUUUAUGUUUUUUAAUUUAUAUUUUUUUAUAAUUUUGAAAAUUUUGUAUAUAAAAAUUAACAGGGAUCUUCUGAUUGGUAUAAAAAAUUACAAAAAAUUAUUCACAGAAGUAUAUUUUUUGUAAAUCUAAUUAAAAUGCACAAAUGUCAAAAAGACAAAUAAAUUUGGGCGGAAGGAGUAGGAUGCAAUUUCCCCGCAGUUCAAAUUUUUAAAUUCUGGAUUGCACAAUAAGUUUAAGUAUUUUGAGUUCAUUUUAAUAAUUCAAAUCAUGGAUAUUGUAAAUCUCGUCAUGGAGUUUACUACGAUAAGAAAAUUACGUUGAUCAGAUACAAAUCAAUAAUUAAUUACUAUUAAUCUAUAUUAAAAUAAAUUAGUAUAAUUUUGUGUGUAACAAGCAUUUAUGAAGUUAUAUAAAAUAAUAAUGUACGGAUAUUAAUUUUGUAUCCAAUCAAUAUAAUUUUAUACAGUGUUGAUUUUCACAACAGAGUUUAUAAUAUAAAUAAUUUAAAUCAUUAAAUCAGAUUCAAAAUACUUGAGCUGGAUGUGGAAUCCAAAAAUUUAGAAGCUUUGUCCAAAUUAAUAAUGGAGAGACAAAAAAUUCACAUGACACGCGAUUCACGAAAGCAAUAAGAUGAGGAAUUUAAGGUAAGACAGAGACUUGAGAGUUGUAAUCUUCUGUUUUUUUGUUUUUUUCAUAUGGCAUGCAAGAAGAUUCAACAUAAAUUGAACAUAUCAAAAGCUAAUAUUAUAUUAUAUAUUCCGUAAUUAACUAAAAAAAUAAUAUUUCGGUUAGGUCUGUUAAUGGAACGAAUUUAGAUAAAAUUCGUGAAAAUCCAACUAAAUCUGUUAACAAUUUUUUUCUAUGAAAAAUAGUUUUUUAAAAAAAACAAAAAAACGGCUUUUUAAAAAAAUAGUAUUUUAGAAAAACAGUUAUUAUUUAAAAAGAGAAAUAACAUUUUUUGAAAAGGAUCAAAUCGGUUUAAAUUGAAUUCGGAUUUCGACUCCUCUGAGAAUGAAUUAGAAAAAUAAGAGGAAAACGAAAAGCAUGUAAAAAGGGACCAUGCAGAUUGUGUUAAAAGAAUGGGGGUGGCGCCGUACCAGAUUUUAAAAAAUGAAUGCGGAUUUUUGCCGAUAGGAUUUGGAUUGAAUGCGGAUUUAAUCUGACCUGUUGACAUACUUAAUUUCAUUAUGUAAUAACAUAAUAUCAAAGUCUUUAGGGUAAAUUUCACGACGU